AUAUUUGUUUAUCAAAUGAAGUUUUAUUUCAUGAUAAUAUUCGUAAAUAAUGCUGUAGUAAAAUGUUGAGCACCCCUGAGUCAUAUGUUUUUGUUUAUUUACAUUGUUUAAAAUACCUACCCGAUCUGACUAUAGGCAUUGUGGCAGUCUUUUGUCUUACAUAAUCGGAAUUGCAAAAACACUCUAGUGUUCACUUUAGCUCGGCGUUACACAGUUAGAAGUGAUACGUCGAGAUACAUAAGAUAAUAUAUAAUAGAAAUAAGCAUGACAGUAGACAGAAUACUUUCCCAGACAAGCUCUGGUGCAAAGAGCUCUGCUACUACUAACAAUCAAUCUUCUUCCUUUCUUGACAGUCAGGAGAUUUGGAAUAUGCCCUAUAACUGCAGACUCCAAUAUUGCAAGUAGCACCUGCAAUACAGUGGAAUAACAUAUUGGUGUGCUGAAGACAUUGUACUGAUGACCCUGUUAUCUGGUCAAAUCAUAAAUGUGUGUAUUAUCAAAAUAUUUGCAUAUAUUGUGAAAUGCUGAUGAUAUUUGAUUUGGUCUUUGAUAUUUGAAAAUAAAAGAAUAUUUACUUUG